UCAUUCCUAUAAUUGCUUAGGCACAUAUCAAGUCCUUUGAUUGGAAUUCAUUUGACUCAUUUCAUUGUGCCCGGGAACUAAAAAAAUGACAUUACAGCUGUAGGUACUUCACUUGAACAUGAAAUACGUAAGUUGUCUGAUAAGUCGUUUCUAGUGGAACGUAAUUACUGUUAAUUCAAGCAUUGAACUGUGGCUGUAAUGUUAUUAUUGAGGAUAUUUAAAAAAAAUAAAAAAUAAUAACGUGUCCAAUCCACUUGUCUGAACAUGCAACUCUGCACAGGCACGUGGGUCCGUCCGGAUGGGGAAGCAGGAGUGAUUAACAGCCCCAUUCAUUUGGUGACCUCUGUCAUUAACAGGGUGAUCCCAUGUGACGUUUCAACUGGAACCACGCGAACCGCUGGACGAUGCUUCACAUUGUGUUUGGAUGCGGUGAAUUUCUGCGCCGAAUAUAGGAAUGAACAUCCUCCUCUUACGUCACUACAAGCCCGACCUUUCUCUGACACCAAGGGCUCCGCCAGACGAGCGUCCCGUUUAAUGCAUUAAAUGCAAUAACACAAUUUUUAAAGUUCACUACAAUGACUGCUCUAUGUUUGCCACUGACUCUGUGUUCCAGAAAUACUUCAACUUUCAUUUCAGGAAUAAACAUUUGACUCAAUCAAUUUCCCUUCUUGGGCGUCUGUGGCUCAGACUGAAAGGAAUAUGGUGGAGGAGGUGGAGCAGUCCAAUUCCAUGUUUAGAGAAUAAGGAAUGAAAACGUAUGGAAGAAGUAGAACGGACAGAAAAAGUGUUGUGCAGCCAGAAAACAAGGAAUUUAAAAACUUGGAAACUCAAAACAUUUGGCGCAAAAACCUGCGGUAGAAAGUCGGGGAAAACCGAUUUGUGAUAACAACAGACGUCUGUGCUGAGAGCAGCUCGUGACCUUUCGAACAGGUGUUGAGAUGUUUCUUCACUCCUCUGCUGUCUCUGAGAAAAUAUCAGUUAAGUCUCUCCACUCCUGAUCAACACUGAGCCUCUAAACCUGCCAGAAUGUUAUCGUUCAUUUCUGGCCUUAUGAGAGGGCUAUGAUGGAUCUACCCAACACACACACACACACACACACACGUCCAAAGUGUAGCUAGGAAGGUUGCCGUUGCAAAAAAAUGUUUAACUUGUUUCGUUGAACUACAAUUAAUAUAUUGUUGGCCACUGACAUUAACAUGUUAUCUCCCUAUAAAGUUAACAGGGUGGUAGAGUUGCAAUCACUCAUAUUGAACAGCAAUAUUACUCGACAAAACCCCCAAAAUCCAACUUUAGAAUCGCAUGAAAGACUGACGCUGUCCCACAACACAGUACACCGCUUUUUAGCUAAAUGAAAUGAUGACAUUUUAUUGUUUGAAUAAUGAUAUUAUCUCUAGACUGACACAUUUUCUGAUAUGUGACCGAGCAUAAUAACACGAUCCAAAGUAGAUGGAUGCAAUUGUUGUGACUUCGAGCUUUGAGUUUAUGGAUGAUGUGCUGUGAAAAAGUGUUGAUAUCAGGGGCAGCAAACUGACAGAAAACCGCAUGCAGUUUGCACAACUGUGAUCUGAUGGCUUUGAUCGGUGGGAUGAAUCUCAUUUUUUACCGCGCUAGUCUAUAACUGCUCUCCACUAACUGCUCUGCACCAAACAGAAGACAAAGGGAGGUUUUACCGACUGUGAGGCGGCGCAGAGGAAGGUAUGUGGGGCACAACACGCUUUUUAAAAUCAUUUUCUGAGAAUAUAUACCUCUCAGGUUAAUGAAUGUCCAAAUAUGUGCUAAUUUAAUUACUAAUGUGAUGCUUUAAUGCUGAACCAUAAAAAUAAUUGUGAAGAUGAAUACAGGUUGAUUCAAAUGUACAAUUUUGUAUUAGUCAUCCAUCUGGUGUAAUGUUAUUUGUUCAAAGUCAAGUGUUUAAAGAAAAAAAUUGCAUUUCAUUAAAGAAAUAAAAUAAAAUGAUUUUCAUGAAUUUAAUCUAUGGAUAGAUACCUCAAAAUGAAGUUUACCUCCCGACCACGAGGAGAUCCCGUCUUCAGGUCACAUAACUUGGUGUGGGAUUUCCUUCCUUCCAGAGAAGUGAGAGAGAGACACAGAGAGAGAGAGAGAGAGAGCGAGCAUUGGCUGGAGACGUGCAAUGUGCUGAACAUUGUUAGAUACCAGCAGCCGCCUGCAGUCACAAUAAAUCCCUUUUGCCCCACUUCAUCACACUUUAUUCAUCUCUCAGAGGUGAAAACCUCCACAUGCUGUGAAUAAUAAUCAGAUACAAGCAAAACGUACAUACUAAUUAAAAGGAUCCAGUGGUAACACGUAAACAGCAUCAGGAUGAUAAAAUGAAGUCCUCUCUCUUAACGACUGAAGGACUUUGCUGAUCUUGGAUUCCGCUUCUUGUCAUCGGACAUUUGUCUACAAACACGUCAUGCAGCAUUUCACAUUAAUGCAGUUGAAAGGACUUGAAACAACUCAAAGAUGCUUGUAUCAAGAUUCUACAUAUCAUCUUAUACAUUUUUAGGAAGAUAUCAUUUUGCACAAUGAACCAUCUCUAUCUUGAAACCGCACACCAUACAUACGUAACGUCCUGAUUAAGUGUCUGAACGGAGUUGCUGCAUUCUCAAAUACAGUACAAGAUA
ensembl:lncRNA